AUUCUCAGAGAAAAGGCCUCCAAGGACGGGCGCCGUGCGCGGCAACUGCCUGCAGUUUUGAAGCCCUUUGACUAUUUCAUAACAAAGACAAGGCCGGGCGGCUUGGACGCUUAGGAAAAUCCUGGGGCUUUGCAAAAACAACAGGUUAAUCUAGUCGUGUGGGAUGAUCACCAAAACAAGACAGGAAAGAAGAACACCGUGUCAAUGCUGAAAAGCCAGCCCCUGUGAGCCCCAAAGUGCACGUUUUCCACAGUCCCAAGGAACACGUGACUGUGUGUUUCCACACUUGAGAAGUCAGGAUAAGACCCCUUGGAUAAUGGAACAGGGGAUGGGGGUGGGAGCAAGCACCCUACCUGGUCACCUGCUUAACUUAGAAACCAGCUUUUAAAACCUGUAACUGCAGUAUGAGCUACGAUCAAAUUUGUCUUAACGUAUUUUUUUUAAUGUUUUUAAUACCCAGAACACAGGGCUUCUACUCCAGGGUUUCCUCGCCAGGGAACCCCAAACACACAGGACCUGGAGAAGCCGGGUAGAGCUGGCUCCUGGCCCUGCGCUUGGGUGGUCGGCUGCCUUAAGAAGAACUGCACCCCAGAGACAGGCUCGCAGCUGCCGACCUUAUCCACUCGCCCUUUCUGCUGGAGCCCAGGCCCAGUGCUCCAGCAAGGAGGCUGAGAAAAUGCUGAAGACUGAUGCCCACGGGGGACAGCUUGGGCUAAGGAUAACGUUUGCAAAACAAACCUUUAAAAACCCAUAGCAACCUGUUUCCUAGAGCACACUCUUCAUCUCUCCACCCCCAAACUAGUCCCGACUCGGAUCCUCCUUUUCCUAUCCUCUUUCUCUUGCUCUCCCGUCUCCUAUUCACUUUUCUUCUCCUUUCCUCUUGAUUAUUAUAAACAAAUGCUUUCCAAGUCUUACCGCCAUCAUAUGUGUACAUAUGCAACCCUUACUGUUACCAAUUUGUUGAAGUCAAGACAGGAGGAGGCAAAGUUUAAAAAUCAGAAGUAUUGCAGGAAAUGAAAAUGGAGUGAGUGUUGCCUGGGUAUCAUAAUUUUUUUUUUUUUUUUAACAGUUCCUCUACUUGGCUCUCCUCCAAAGGUACGCGGCCACAGCAGGCAGGGGCUUGGCAGUGUGGGAGGAGACACCACAGAAGACAGGGAAGAACUACCAGGCCUUGGUUCAUCUCCACACUGGCGAGAGAGGACGUGCAGUUACCUGCUACCUGUUCGACUCAGUCUUUUACGUUGGAGUAACUUAACACAUUGCUGCCCUUAACUUUGACUUACUUGCUUUUAAAGAUGAUGAAGCUGGCCAGGCGCCGUGACUCAUACCUAUAAUCCCAGCAUUUUGGGAGGCCCAGGCAGGUGGAUCACGAGGUCAGCAGUUCAAGACCAGCCUGGCCAACAUGGUGAAACCCUGUCUCUACCAAAAAUACAAAAAUUAGCUGGGCGUGGUGGCGCGUGCCUAUAAUCCCAGCUACUCAGGAGGCUGAGGCAGGAGAAUCACUUGAACCCGGGAGGCAGAGGUUGCAGGGAGCCGAGAUCGCACCACUGCACUCCAGCCUGGGCAAUAGAGCAAGUCUCCAUCUAGGGAACAACAACAACAAAAAGAUUAUGAAGCCUUAGGAAGAACAGGGAUAUUCACCUGCUGCUGAGCCCCCCUCCGCUUUGAUCUUGGAAGUAUCGGCUGCCAGAUAGGGAGCUGAGACUUCAAGAAGCUAAAUAAGGUGUCCAACACCACAGAGCAUGGAGCAAAGGACACGGGACUGCAAAUCUUCCUAACUCGUGUGCUCAUCUGGCUAUCUCACCAGGGCCUUAAAUUUAAUAUAUCCCAAACUGAACUCAUCUUUACCCCUUCCCACUUUGCACUCCUCAAAUGUCCUUGUUUAAAAUAGUUACCUUUAUCUUUCCUAACCCAGAAACUCAAAACCUGGCAUCAUCUUUGACUUCUCUCUUUACCUUCACAUUCAACAGUUUCCAAGACUUAAAGGCUUUAUUUGUAGGAUCUCUACCACUGAUCCUCUACAGUUUCACACCUACAUCCCAUUCUCGUUCCCAAAUCCCCAUAACUCCUCUCCUGGCCCAUCCCUUAACACUGAAAUCCUGGCUUGGAAAAUAUGGUCACAUUCACAGCAGCUGUCCCCAAGAAGGAAGCCAAGGCAACAGUAUGCACAAUGAAGUGAGUCUUCACUGAUCUCUCCAUAUUUUGACAUUUUACAGCACUUAUUAUCUCUACUUUGUAUUUUGAAACUGAAUCCAAAAUAGUUUUGCAUUUGUUGUUUAACAGUCAUGUAUGUAGUUUUUUUUUUUUUUUCUUUUUUUUUGGAGACAGAGUCUGGCUCUGUCACCCAGGCUGGAGUGCAGUGGCGUGAUUUUGGCUCACUGCAACCUCCGCCUUCUGGGUUCAAGCAGUUCUCGUGCCUCCCUGAGCAGCUGGGAAUACAAGCAUACACCACCAUGCCCAGCUAAUUUAUUUUUAGUAGAGAUGGGAUUUCACCAUGUUGCCCAGGCUGAUCUUGAACUCCUGAGGUCAGGCAAUCUGCCCACCUCAGCCUCCCAAAGUGCUGGGAUUACAGGCAUCAGCCACCACACCCAGCCCCUCCAUGUGUGUAGAUAUUUAUCCACAUCCAAAAAUUAGGAAAAGCAGGACGCAUUGAACCUUUGGUACCCAGCAGCAGGAGCCUGUGGGUCUUCUGUCUGGAGCACAAUCACAAGGACCGAGCAUCAGCAGCAUCCACUGUCCUUUCAGCUCCAAAUUUUAAACUCCCGUAAGAGAGACAUUAUUGGCCCAGCUUGGGUCGUGUGUCCACCCCUUUAAUCAAUCAGCUUUGGCCAAGCAGCAGGUCAUCCUGGUCCAAACAUCACAGUUGGGGGCCUCACUUGUAAAUAGAGCUUGUUCCCAAAAAAGAGGGAGGCACACACCAUUCAUUUGUUUAUUCAUUCAUUCAAUCAGCAAAUAGUUGAGCAUCUAUAGAAAUAUAUUUAAGGUUCUAUUAUGUACACAAAAUGUAUAAAACAUGGCCCUGCCCUCACACCAUGAAAGUUACCACAUAAAAAGAAGUCACCAGAUAAAAAAAGCAUAACAGUAUUCAUAAGUACUCAUGAGUGACCAUCAAUUCAGUUACACAUGAUGGAAGAUAAUUCAUUAUACCUAGUAUAAGCCAGUGACGGUAAAAAUAGUUAGCAGCAAUGUGUACAUGAUCAACAAAAGCUCACAGCAGCACCAUUUACACAAAAACAGAAAAGUACCCAGAUGUCCAUCAGAGGUAGACCAGAUAAAAUAUAAAAUAUACCACCACACAAUGGCUAACACCUGUAAUCCCAGCACUUUGGGAGGCUGAGGCCGGCAGAUCACUUGAGGUCAGGAGUUUGAGACCAGCCUGAUCAACAUGGUGAAACCCCGUCUCUACUAAAAAUACAAAAAUUAACCAGUUGUCAUGGCAUGUGCCUGUAAUCCCAGCUACUCAGGAGGCCGAGGCAAGAGAAUCGCUUGAACCUGGGAGGCCAAGGUUGCAGUGAGCCGAGAUCACACCACUGCACUCCAGCCUGGGUAAAAAAGCGAGAUUCCAUCUCGAAAAAAAAAAAGUGUAUAUGUAUAGUGUAUGCAUGCACAGAAUACUUUACAGCAAUAAGAAUGAGUGUUCUGCAAAUAUACACAAUAUUGCUGACUCUCCCAAUGUUAAACAAAAGCAUCCAGACACACAACAAUGUGUACAGUAUAUGAUUCCAUUGAUAGAAAGCUUAAAAACAGGCAAAAUUAAUUCACCCUUAUGGAGUCUUAAGUAAGGGGAACAAAAGGGGCCAUCUGGGCAGUGAUAAUGCUGUUUCUUGAGCUGGGUGCUGGGUUCACAGGUGUGUUCAGUUUGUCACAUUCAUCAAGCUUACACUUCUCAUACAUCUUCUUUUCUAUAUG
ensembl:lncRNA EXTL3-AS1 EXTL3 antisense RNA 1